rnacentral:tRNA from 1 species
CCGGGAUAGGUCAGCUGG